GCGUACUGUGCCCUUCCCACAAGAACCGUUGUCUUCUCCGCAUCUCCUUUCCCAAACCAACAGAAGAAUCAAAACCCUUUUCUCUCUUUUCCUCCUCCCCUUCAUCGUCAUGCCAAAAAUUGCAACCUAGCUUCCCGUUGCAGCCAUAGAUGCCAUAGAUCUACAAAGAUCCCAUCACAAAAUGGCCUUUUCCAACCCCAAAACCAAAAACCAGAAAAAGCAAAGCCCCAAAUUCAUACAACAACAGAGAAUUAUUUGGAAUCCGCCAUUAAUGGCCUAUAAAAUCUGCUGAUAAAGGGGAUUCGGCUCUACAUCUCAAAUUCAAAAACAUCUUUGUACCCAUUUUUAUUUUUUAUUUUCAAAUAUGGAUUUGAGGUCAAGAUUUGUGCCUAUAAAUGGUGUCUUCAACACCUCUAGAGGAGUGUGAAAAAGGGG
rnacentral:lncRNA from 1 species